ACGAACGCUGGCGGCGUGCUUCACACAUGCAAGUCGAACGGUGAAGCGCCUUCCUUUUUGGUGGGUGUGGAUGAGUGGCGAACGGGUGAGUAACACGUGAGUAACCUGCCCCCUUCUUCUGGAUAACCGCAUGAAAGUGUGGCUAAUACGGGAUAUUCUGGGUCUGUCGCAUGAUGGGUCUGGGAAAGAUAUUGUUUCGGUGGGGGAUGGGCUCGCGGCCUAUCAGCUUGUUGGUGGGGUGAUGGCCUACCAAGGCGGUGACGGGUAGCCGGCCUGAGAGGGUGGACGGUCACACUGGGACUGAGACACGGCCCAGACUCCUACGGGAGGCAGCAGUGGGGAAUAUUGCACAAUGGGCGCAAGCCUGAUGCAGCGACGCCGCGUGAGGGAUGGAGGCCUUCGGGUUGUGAACCUCUUUCGCCAGUGAAGCAGGCCUGCCUCGUUUGUGGGUGGGUUGACGGUAGCUGGAUAAGAAGCGCCGGCUAACUACGU
rnacentral:rRNA from 1 species